UAGGGUGCGAGCGUUAUCCGGAAUUAUUGGGCGUAAAGAGCUCGUAGGCGGUUUGUCACGUCUGUCGUGAAAGUCCGGGGCUUACCCCGGAUCUGCGGUGGGUACGGGCAGACUAGAGUGCAGUAGGGGAGACUGGAAUUCCUGGUGUAGCGGUGGAAUGCGCAGAUAUCAGGAGGAACACCGAUGGCGAAGGCAGGUCUCUGGGCUGUAACUGACGCUGAGGAGCGAAAGCAUGGGGAGCGAACAGGAUUAGAUACCCUGGUAGUCCAUGCCGUAAACGUUGGGCACUAGGUGUGGGGACCAUUCCACGGUUUCCGCGCCGCAGCUAACGCAUUAAGUGCCCCGCCUGGGGAGUACGGCCGCAAGGCUAAAACUCAAAGGAAUUGACGGGGGCCCGCACAAGCGGCGGAGCAUGCGGAUUAAUUCGAUGCAACGCGAAGAACCUUACCAAGGCUUGACAUGUGUUCGACCGCCGUGGAGACACGGUUCCCCUUUGGGGCGGAUGCCAGGUGGUGCAUGGUUGUC
rnacentral:rRNA from 1 species